rnacentral:rRNA from 1 species
AGCCCAGAGCCUGAAUCAGUGUGUGUGUUAGUGGAAGCGUCUGGAAAGGCGCGCGAUACAGGGUGACAGCCCCGUACACAAAAAUGCACAUGCUGUGAGCUCGAUGAGUAGGGCGGGACACGUGGUAUCCUGUCUGAAUAUGGGGGGACCAUCCUCCAAGGCUAAAUACUCCUGACUGACCGAUAGUGAACCAGUACCGUGAGGGAAAGGCGAAAAGAACCCCGGCGAGGGGAGUGAAAAAGAACCUGAAACCGUGUACGUACAAGCAGUGGGAGCCUCUUUAUGGGGUGACUGCGUACCUUUUGUAUAAUGGGUCAGCGACUUAUAUUCUGUAGCAAGGUUAACCGAAUAGGGGAGCCGAAGGGAAACCGAGUCUUAACUGGGCGUUAAGUUGCAGGGUAUAGACCCGAAACCCGGUGAUCUAGCCAUGGGCAGGUUGAAGGUUGGGUAACACUAACUGGAGGACCGAACCGACUAAUGUUGAAAAAUUAGCGGAUGACUUGUGGCUGGGGGUGAAAGGCCAAUCAAACCGGGAGAUAGCUGGUUCUCCCCGAAAGCUAUUUAGGUAGCGCCUCGUGAAUUCAUCUCCGGGGGUAGAGCACUGUUUCGGCAAGGGGGUCAUCCCGACUUACCAACCCGAUGCAAACUGCGAAUACCGGAGAAUGUUAUCACGGGAGACACACGGCGGGUGCUAACGUCCGUCGUGAAGAGGGAAACAACCCAGACCGCCAGCUAAGGUCCCAAAGUCAUGGUUAAGUGGGAAACGAUGUGGGAAGGCCCAGACAGCCAGGAUGUUGGCUUAGAAGCAGCCAUCAUUUAAAGAAAGCGUAAUAGCUCACUGGUCGAGUCGGCCUGCGCGGAAGAUGUAACGGGGCUAAACCAUGCACCGAAGCUGCGGCAGCGACGCUUAUGCGUUGUUGGGUAGGGGAGCGUUCUGUAAGCCUGCGAAGGUGUGCUGUGAGGCAUGCUGGAGGUAUCAGAAGUGCGAAUGCUGACAUAAGUAACGAUAAAGCGGGUGAAAAGCCCGCUCGCCGGAAGACCAAGGGUUCCUGUCCAACGUUAAUCGGGGCAGGGUGAGUCGACCCCUAAGGCGAGGCCGAAAGGCGUAGUCGAUGGGAAACAGGUUAAUAUUCCUGUACUUGGUGUUACUGCGAAGGGGGGACGGAGAAGGCUAUGUUGGCCGGGCGACGGUUGUCCCGGUUUAAGCGUGUAGGCUGGUUUUCCAGGCAAAUCCGGAAAAUCAAGGCUGAGGCGUGAUGACGAGGCACUACGGUGCUGAAGCAACAAAUGCCCUGCUUCCAGGAAAAGCCUCUAAGCAUCAGGUAACAUCAAAUCGUACCCCAAACCGACACAGGUGGUCAGGUAGAGAAUACCAAGGCGCUUGAGAGAACUCGGGUGAAGGAACUAGGCAAAAUGGUGCCGUAACUUCGGGAGAAGGCACGCUGAUAUGUAGGUGAAGCGACUUGCUCGUGGAGCUGAAAUCAGUCGAAGAUACCAGCUGGCUGCAACUGUUUAUUAAAAACACAGCACUGUGCAAACACGAAAGUGGACGUAUACGGUGUGACGCCUGCCCGGUGCCGGAAGGUUAAUUGAUGGGGUUAGCGGUAACGCGAAGCUCUUGAUCGAAGCCCCGGUAAACGGCGGCCGUAACUAUAACGGUCCUAAGGUAGCGAAAUUCCUUGUCGGGUAAGUUCCGACCUGCACGAAUGGCGUAAUGAUGGCCAGGCUGUCUCCACCCGAGACUCAGUGAAAUUGAACUCGCUGUGAAGAUGCAGUGUACCCGCGGCAAGACGGAAAGACCCCGUGAACCUUUACUAUAGCUUGACACUGAACAUUGAGCCUUGAUGUGUAGGAUAGGUGGGAGGCUUUGAAGUGUGGACGCCAGUCUGCAUGGAGCCGACCUUGAAAUACCACCCUUUAAUGUUUGAUGUUCUAACGUUGGCCCCUAAUCGGGGUUGCGGACAGUGUCUGGUGGGUAGUUUGACUGGGGCGGUCUCCUCCUAAAGAGUAACGGAGGAGCACGAAGGUUGGCUAAUCCUGGUCGGACAUCAGGAGGUUAGUGCAAUGGCAUAAGCCAGCUUGACUGCGAGCGUGACGGCGCGAGCAGGUGCGAAAGCAGGUCAUAGUGAUCCGGUGGUUCUGAAUGGAAGGGCCAUCGCUCAACGGAUAAAAGGUACUCCGGGGAUAACAGGCUGAUACCGCCCAAGAGUUCAUAUCGACGGCGGUGUUUGGCACCUCGAUGUCGGCUCAUCACAUCCUGGGGCUGAAGUAGGUCCCAAGGGUAUGGCUGUUCGCCAUUUAAAGUGGUACGCGAGCUGGGUUUAGAACGUCGUGAGACAGUUCGGUCCCUAUCUGCCGUGGGCGCUGGAGAACUGAGGGGGGCUGCUCCUAGUACGAGAGGACCGGAGUGGACGCAUCACUGGUGUUCGGGUUGUCAUGCCAAUGGCACUGCCCGGUAGCUAAAUGCGGAAGAGAUAAGUGCUGAAAGCAUCUAAGCACGAAACUUGCCCCGAGAUGAGUUCUCCCUGACUCCUUGAGAGUCCUGAAGGAACGUUGAAGACGACGACGUUGAUAGGCCGGGUGUGUAAGCGCAGCGAUGCGUUGAGCUAACCGGUACUAAUGAACCGUGAGGCUUAACCUU